rnacentral:rRNA from 1 species
AUUAAAUGGGGGAAGGGGGGGAAGGAGUCAAAUUAUCCUUCCCCUUUUGAUCUGGGGUACCCCCGUGSUUCAAUGGGUAAUACAAAGGGCAGGGAAUCCGGGAGGGCCAACAAAUCCCAUAAAAUUAUUUUCAAUUCGGAUUGUAGUUUGCAACUUGGCUUCAUGAAGCUGGAAUCGGUAGUAAUUGUAGAUCAGCCUGCUACGGUGAAUACGUUCCCGGGUCUUGUACACCCCGCCCGUCCCCCCCCGAGAGUUGUAACACCCGAAGCCGGGGGGGUAACCUUUUAGGAGGGAGCCGUCGAAGGUGGGACAAAGACUGGGGGAAGAAGAGCGAGGG